GAAUGAUCCAAGUGCAGCAGUGUUUACAACUAAAUUGAUCACAAGCAGUUAGAUUUUCUUGUUCCUUCUCCACUUCCACUGUUGCAUUUGACUAGACUUAA
rnacentral:Y_RNA from 1 species